GGUCGUUGGGGUUGCGGGAGGAGACGGUGAUUUGGAUUGUUGAUGAGAGGAGAUUGUCGGAGGAGGAGACGUUGAAUUGGUAGAGGGUGGUGUCUUGGAGGUAGAAUUUGGGCUUGGUGGGGCGGAGGACGAGCCAGAUGAUGAGGAUGAUGAAGAGGACGAGGAUGAUGAGGCUGAAGAGGGUGGCGAAGGCUCGGCGGUAGAACUGGUGGCGCUUGCUGCUGCCGUGGUUUCCACAGUCCUUCGCCGACAUGGCGGCGGUGGCGGCCGGAGGGGAAGGAGAGGGUGGGUGGUGGCGUGUGGAGG
rnacentral:misc_RNA from 1 species